CCUACGGGAGGCAGCAGUGAGGAAUAUUGGUCAAUGGUCGGGAGCCUGAACCAGCCAAGCCGCGUGAGGGAUGAAGGUACAGAGUAUCGUAAACCUCUUUUGUCAGGGAACAAAGGCGGGCACGCGUCCCCGUAUGCGUGUACCUUGAGAACAAGCAUCGGCUAACUCCGUGCCCGCAACCGCGGUAAUCCGGAGGAUGCGGACGUUAUCCGGAUUUAUUGGGUUUAAAGGGUGCGCAGGCGGUCUGUUAAGUCAGCGGUAAAAGCCCGGGGCUCAACCCCGGCCCGCCGUUGAAACUGGUAGUCUCGAGUUGGAGAGAAGUAUGCGGAAUGCGCGGUGUAGCGGUGAAAUGCAUAGAUAUCGCGCAGAACUCCGAUUGCGAAGGCAGCAUGCCGGCUCCAAACUGACGCUGAGGCACGAAAGCGUGGGUAUCGAACAGGAUUAGAUACCCCAGUAGUC
rnacentral:rRNA from 1 species